GACGAACGCUGGCGGCGUGCCUAAUACAUGCAAGUAGAACGCUGAAGGAGGAGCUUGCUCUUCUGGAUGAGUUGCGAACGGGUGAGUAACGCGUAGGUAACCUCCCUGGUAGUGGGGGAUAACUAUUGGAAACGAUAGCUAAUACCGCAUAAUAACAGUUGUUGCAUGACAACUGUUUGAAAGGUGCAAUUGCAUCACUACCAGAUGGACCUGCGUUGUAUUAGCUAGUUGGUGGGGUAACGGCUCACCAAGGCGACGAUACAUAGCCGACCUGAGAGGGUGAUCGGCCACACUGGGACUGAGACACGGCCCAGACUCCUACGGGAGGCAGCAGUAGGGAAUCUUCGGCAAUGGACGAAAGUCUGACCGAGCAACGCCGCGUGAGUGAAGAAGGAUUUCGGUUCGUAAAGCAUAU
rnacentral:rRNA from 1 species